UAAGGAAUAUUGGUCAAUGGGCGCAAGCCUGAACCAGCCAUGCCGCGUGCAGGAAGACGGCCCUACGGGUUGUAAACUGCUUUUGCAGGGGAAUAAACCUCCCGACGUGUCGGGAGCUGAAUGUACCUUGAGAAUAAGGAUCGGCUAACUCCGUGCCAGCAGCCGCGGUAAUACGGAGGAUCCAAGCGUUAUCCGGAUUUAUUGGGUUUAAAGGGUGCGUAGGCGGCCUUGUAAGUCAGGGGUGAAAGACGGUAGCUCAACUAUCGCAGUGCCUUUGAUACUGCAGGGCUUGAAUGUACUUGAGGCAGGCGGAAUGUGACAAGUAGCGGUGAAAUGCAUAGAUAUGUCACAGAACACCAAUUGCGAAGGCAGCUUGCUAAAGUAUGAUUGACGCUGAGGCACGAAAGCGUGGGGAUCAAACAGGAUUAGAUACCCCUGUAGUCC
rnacentral:rRNA from 1 species